rnacentral:lncRNA from 1 species
ACACUCCCCUUUAGAGCAUCAGUGCACACCCAAGGGACUUGGGAUCAGCUCCCUCUCUCGCCCUCCUGUAACCCCUACUACAGACCCCGCGUGGGCAACACGAGCAGCUCCCGAUACUGGACGUAGGGCUCUUCCUUGCCCGAACCAGUCUAAACCCCGUGUCUCCCACGCCACCAUCCGAAGCCUUACGCGCAUAAAAGAAAUUUACUAGUCUUAGUCUUGAUCCGCUGAUCUUGACAACGACAC